AGAAUCAACGCUGGCGGCGUGCCUAACACAUGCAAGUCGCGCGAGAAAGGGACUUCGGUCCUGAGUACAGUGGCGCACGGGUGAGUAACACGUGACUAACCUACCUCCGAGUGGGGAAUAACCUAGAGAAAUCUGGGCUAAUACCGCAUAACACUUACGAGUCAAAGCAGCAAUGCGCUUGGAGAGGGGGUCGCGGCAGAUUAGUUAGUUGGCGGGGUAAUGGCCCACCAAGACGAUGAUCUGUA
rnacentral:rRNA from 1 species